rnacentral:rRNA from 1 species
GUGAACGCUGGCGGUAGGCCUAACACAUGCAAGUCGAACGGCAGCACAGUAAGAGCUUGCUCUUCCGGGUGGCGAGUGGCGGACGGGUGAGGAAUACAUCGGAAUCUACUUUUUCGUGGGGGAUAACGUAGGGAAACUUACGCUAAUACCGCAUACGACCUACGGGUGAAAGCAGGGGAUCUUCGGACCUUGCGCGGUUGAAUGAGCCGAUGUCGGAUUAGCUAGUUGGCGGGGUAAAGGCCCACCAAGGCGACGAUCCGUAGCUGGUCUGAGAGGAUGAUCAGCCACCCUGGAACUGAGACACGGUCCAGACUACUACGGGAGGCAGCAGUGGGGAAUAUUGGACAAUGGGCGCAAGCCUGACCCAGCCAUACCGCGUGGGUGAAGAAGGCCUUCGGGUUGUAAAGCCCUUUUGUUGGGAAAGAAAAGCAGCAGGUUAAUACCCCGCGGUUCUGACGGUACCCAAAGAAUAAGCACCGGCUAACUUCGUG